rnacentral:rRNA from 1 species
AUACGUAGGGUGCGAGCGUUGUCCGGAAUUACUGGGUGUAAAGGGAGCGUAGGCGGGAGUGCAAGUCAGAUGUGAAAUACAUGGGCUCAACCCAUGGGCUGCAUUUGAAACUGCAUUUCUUGAGUGAAGUAGAGGUAAGCGGAAUUCCUGGUGUAGCGGUGAAAUGCGUAGAUAUCAGGAGGAACACCGGUGGCGAAGGCGGCUUACUGGGCUUUUACUGACGCUGAGGCUCGAAAGCGUGGGGAGCAUACAGGAUUAGAUACCCUGGUAGUCCACGCUGUAAACGAUGAUUACUAGGUGUGGGGGGACUGACCCCUUCCGUGCCGCAGUUAACACAAUAAGUAAUCCACCUGGGGAGUACGGCCGCAAGGUUGAAACUCAAAGGAAUUGACGGGG